AGCUUUGCGCAGUGGCAUUACCGUAGCUGAUGAGGUCCAUCCGAGGCGCGGUUAUUGCUGAUUGAAAACUUUUCCCAAUACCCCGCGAGACGACUUGAAACAUAGUCGGCUUUGCAAUUUUUGUGGGCCCUGCUUAGGG
rnacentral:snRNA from 2 species